rnacentral:tRNA from 1 species
CCCUGGUAGCUCAGAGGUAAAGAAUCUGCCUGCAGUACAGGAGACCCAGGUUCGAUCCCUGGAUCAGGAA